UUUAGAACAAGCUGUAAGUAAAGAUGGAGGUUGUACAGCGACUCCAGUACUGCAGUUACGUCUAGAAGACAUAUGAUUUGAAGACGGAGAACUUCCUAGACUCUUCUCAGGACUCAGUGUGAGGAGGAGAGAGUGAGCUGCUUCAAGAAAGGUCAAACAACAGAGCAGAAGAAUGCAAUGAUAACGGUACUCUCUGGAACCAUAGGAUACAUCCUCCUUUUCUCUCUCUCUUGACUUGAUAGACUAGAAGCUGCAAGGCUUCCAAAAACAGAGAACAUGCAUUAACAGUUUGAAGGGAAAUGAAAAUCUGCAUUGUUUGAACAAAAUAGUUCAGUGAUCUACUGCUGCUGUCUGCUGAACCCAGUUACACAGAAGACAAAAUGCAAAGCAAGCCCUGAAUUUUGGCAGAAUUCAAACCUGAGAAAAUCCUACUUCCAAAAAUGAAAGCUCUAGAGGCUACAAGAAAGCGUUCAGAAAACCUCACCUAGGAUCUCAUAAUCCAGUUUCUUCUAGAACAUACAUAUAAAAAAUGCAAACAUAAAUUUUAGUUGAAAAUAAAAUUGCCUGGUGAAAAAUGUAAAUUCUUC
ensembl:lncRNA